rnacentral:rRNA from 1 species
CCUACGGGUGGCUGCAGUGGGGAAUAUUGGACAAUGGGGGGAACCCUGAUCCAGCCAUGCCGCGUGUGUGAAGAAGGCCCUCGGGUUGUAAAGCACUUUCAGGGAGGAAGAACGCCUGGUGGUUAAUACCCAUCAGGAAAGACAUCACUCACAGAAGAAGCACCGGCUAACUCCGUGCCAGCAGCCGCGGUAAUACGGAGGGUGCGAGCGUUAAUCGGAAUUACUGGGCGUAAAGCGCGCGUAGGUGGCUUGAUAAGCCGGUUGUGAAAGCCCCGGGCUCAACCUGGGAACGGCAUCCGGAACUGUCAAGCUAGAGUGCAGGAGAGGUAGGUAGAAUUCCCGGUGUAGCGGUGAAAUGCGUAGAGAUCGGGAGGAAUACCAGUGGCGAAGGCGGCCUUCUGGACUGACACUGACACUGAGGUGCGAAAGCGUGGGUAGCAAACAGGAUUAGAUACCCUUGUAGUC